GAUGAACGCUGGCGGCGUGCCUAAUACAUGCAAGUCGAGCGAACAGACGAGGAGCUUGCUCCUCUGACGUUAGCGGCGGACGGGUGAGUAACACGUGGAUAACCUACCUAUAAGACUGGGAUAACUUCGGGAAACCGGAGCUAAUACCGGAUAAUAUAUUGAACCGCAUGGUUCAAUAGUGAAAGACGGUUUUGCCGUCACUUAUAGAUGGAUCCGCGCCGGAUUAGCUAGUUGGUAAGGUAACGGCUUACCAAGGCAACGAUGCGUAGCCGACCUGAGAGGGUGAUCGGCCACACUGGAACUGAGACACGGUCCAGACUCCUACGGGAGGCAGCAGUAGGGAAUCUUCCACAAUGGGCGAAAGCCUGACGGAGCAACGCCGCGUGAGUGAUGAAGGUCUUCGGAUCGUAAAGCUCUGUUAUUAGGGAAGAACAAAUGUGUAAGUAACUAUGCACGUCUUGACGGUACCUAAUCAGAAAGCCACGGCUAACUACGUG
rnacentral:rRNA from 1 species